CCUACGGGUUGCACCAGUGGGGAAUCUUGGACAAUGGGCGAAAGCCCGAUCCAGCAAUAUCGCGUGAGUGAAGAAGGGCAAUGGCGCUUGUAAAGCUCUUUCGUCGAGUGCGCGAUCAUGACAGGACUCGAGGAAGAAGCCCCGGCUAACUCCGUGCCAGCAGCCGCGGUAAUACGAAGGGGGCUAGCGUUGUUCGGAAUUACUGGGCGUAAAGCGCGCGUAGGCGGAUAGAUAAGUCAGAGGUGAAAUCCCGGGGCUCAACCCCGGAAUUGCCUUUGAUACUGUUUAUCUUGAGUGCAGAAGAGGUAAGUGGAAUUCCGAGUGUAGAGGUGAAAUUCGUAGAUAUUCGGAGGAACACCAGUGGCGAAGGCGGCUUACUGGUCUGCAACUGACGCUGAGGCGCGAAAGCGUGGGGAGCAAACAGGAUUAGAUACCCUCGUAGUC
rnacentral:rRNA from 1 species